rnacentral:rRNA from 1 species
GGCCAGCAGCCGCGGUAAGACGUAGGAUGCAAGCGUUGUCCGGAUUUAUUGGGCGUAAAGAGUUCGUAGGUGGUUUGUUAAGUCUGAUGUUAAAGACUGGGGCUCAACCUCGGGAGUGCAUUGGAUACUGGCAGACUUGAGUGCAGUAGAGGCAAGCGGAAUUCCAGGUGUAGCGGUGAAAUGCGUAGAUAUCUGGAAGAACACCGGUGGCGCAAGCGGCUUGCUGGGCUGUAACUGACACUGAGGAACGAAAGCUAGGGUAGCGAAUGGGAUUAGAUACCCCAGUAGUCCUAGCCGUAAACGAUGGAUACUAGGCGUAUCGGGUAUCGACCCCUGAUGUGCCGCAGCUAACGCGAUAAGUAUCCCGCCUGAGUAGUACGGCCGCAAGGUUGAAACUCAAAGGAAUUGACGGGGGCCCGCACAAGC